ACUAGAAGGAUCUUUUAAUGGUGUCCAAGAGAAUCACCAUUUAGGAAGUUUGCCUCUGGUGACCUUUACAAAAGGAUGGAGACUGGACAAAUACAUACUUCACACGGGGAAGCUUGGGGACCAUUACAAACUUCAUGUUCAACUAAGAGACAUUAAACAUAGCAAUAUGAUUCAGGAAGAUAUCUUUGAAGAAUUAACCAAAACAACCAACAGAAGGCCUUGAGAAGACUGAAACCUAUCUGGAAUAGCUGUCUGUGGAAGGGAUUUGCAUCCUCCUAUGAAAGCGCUCCAAAAAUGACCUUAAGGAGAUGAAGUGGAGAAACAUCUUUUAAAUUUUACACUUGCCUUUCCCCUGCAUUGUCUUUGGAUGAUCAUUUCCUUCCCGUUCACCCAAAAGUCUGCUACAGCAGCUCAGACCACUAGUGUGGUGUCUCAGAGGUACAAUUGGGGUAGCAGGAAGGCCCUG